GAUCGCCCCCAACCCCAAACUGGUUUAUCGCAAGUUAUACUGAACACUUCUCUUCCCAAAUCGUUUGCUUUUCCCUUGAUCUUCUUCUUGCACUUUCAAUAUUCCAUUGCUGAAACACAUCAUCAAAAAGUGAAAUAUUAAUCGUAAGUGAAAUAGGAUAUUAAACCCAAAGACGAUAGUAACAAUUUAUUCUUUUCAAUUGGAUGCUCUCGAGGGGACACAAAUUGCACAAGUUUCCAUUAACAUCAUAAGGAGGGAUUUAGGGAUCAAUAUAGAGACGGUUGCAAUUUCUAAAAAUCAACUUCAAGUUUCCAUUAAUAUUUUUUAUAUUUUCGUUUGAACUUCUUGUUUUAAACUUUAGUUGGGUUUUAUUGGUUUUAGUGUAGUUCUGCGUUAAAGUUUUGAUUGUUUUUUGAAGUUUUGAGCUAUUUGGUUAAAUGGGUUGGUUAUUAUUUCUUGAAAUAUUUGGUUGUGCUUCUUGGUUUGUAUUGCGUGGGGUUUUGAUUAUUUUUUGCUCCUAGAGUAAGAGAUGAAAUUUCCACUCCCAGAGAAAAGCCAUGAUUUUCUUUGUAUUCUUUCUUUAUCUUUACAGAAAAUGAAGGAUUACAGCAGCAGAAAUUAAAUACUUAGCAAGCAUCAUUUGAUGUGUUAUAACUUCAUGUUUCACAAUUUUUGAGCUAUUCUCUGUUAUCCUUUUUCCAGGCAUGUAAAAUUAUCAAGGGACAAUGAUAUACCAAUAGGUUGGUCGAAAAGCUAAUUACUGUGCUUUGUUGAAGAUCACAUGCGAAAGACCAAGACAUCAUGAAAAUUCGAUUUUGAUGUAUUUAUCAGUGAUACCUACCUUUUCUCUACUGAUGGAACCACUGUUGCAUAUACAAACAUAGCUAACUGGAUUAGACUGAGAUAGUAGGCCUUGAAUUAUUUCGGUGUGUAAAUUUUAUCAAUUCAGACUGAGUCAUUGUGGUUAUAUGACUAUUUAUUUCCAUACUUGACCAAUUUAGCCUAUGUUUUUUCACAAAUGUUCAAUGUUAAUUUUUGUACAUUCUCCAUACCGGGGAUUAAGAUAUGAGAAGAACAUGCAAUUAAAGCUAUAUAGGCUAGCAACCUCCUUAAUCUUAAAUUUUUGUUAAUGUUUGUUGUUCAUUCUAUACAUGUUUGGAGUACCCAGAUUUCGAAGUUUAAUUACAAUUACAAAUUUUUACAGUUUAAUUUAAUUUUACUGAGAAUAUACAUCUGACUUCAAUAUUAUUACUGGAGUGUGAAAAUACUUGAUGAUCACAUAAUUGUUGUGCGAAGGGAUCACGAGCACAAAUCUAAAAGUGAAAAAGGAGAAAAAGAAAUGUUACAGAUCGAGAAGAAACCAAGAGAAAAGAAAAAGCUCUUCAAGAAGAAAAAGCCCGGCAAGAAAGGAUCAGAGCAAAGACUAGGCUAGGCUGGAAGCUGAAAGAGUUGAAAUGUAAAAAGACGCAGGACGGGAAGCUGAGAUGAAGCUUCUCCGAGCUAGCAAUGUUUCAAAGAAAGUGACUAGACAGGCUGUGAAACCCAUACCUGAUUGGCAGAAACAUUCAGCAGGUAUAUCUCACCGUAUAAUCUUAGUGAGGGAGUGGAAAAUCGAGAUUUGACCUUCGUCCUACUCCUCUUUUUCUUUUUAUUUUCUCUCAAACUAUUUCAAAUAAAUAAUUACUUGGAGGAAAUGUUCUAGGAAAAUAUACUUUUGAAAAUAUUCUUAACUAGGAUGAACAUAUUGCACUUAGUGUCUCUCCUGGACAUACAUACAUCUUUUCCGACCAGAGAAUAAGUUAAAACUAAAUAUCAGCAUUGACCAAACAGAGAUAGUUUCUAUAUUUUUUUCAUGUUAAAAUCAUCUCCUUGCCAUUCCAUCUUUUGGAGCAGAUAGUCAUGGACUCAUGGUUCAAUAUUUAAUUCUAUUAGGACAUUAUUUUACUUAUUGUUCAAGCCAUCUCUCUAUGGCGCAAUCUGGAUUUGCUUAGCUGAUUCAUUUAAAUCUUAUUAAACUCUCUACUGCUGAAUUUGUAGUGAAGUUCACAUGUAAUAUAUAUUUUUCUUGCC